rnacentral:rRNA from 1 species
UACGGGGGGGGCAAGCGUUGUUCGGAAUUACUGGGCGUAAAGGGCUCGUAGGCGGCCAACUAAGUCGGACGUGAAAUCCCUCGGCUUAACCGGGGAACUGCGUCCGAUACUGGAUGGCUUGAGUUUGGGAGAGGGAUGCGGAAUUCCAGGUGUAGCGGUGAAAUGCGUAGAUAUCAGGAGGAACACCUGUGGUGUAGACAGCUUACUGGACCACUUCUGACGCUGAGACACGAAAGCGUGGGUAGCAAACAGG